GGAGGGUCUUGGAUUAAGUGAUGUUGUAAUGAACGUUUUAUGCAGUGUGUUGGGGGAAACACUUAAAACAUUGAGCCAGUCUCUGGCAGGCUUGAAUUUGAAUGUUGGAGGUGUUGUUGGAGGUGGUGUUGGCGGUGGUGUUCU